UGCCACCCAGAUCUGGGGGAGAGGGGGGAGCUCCUGAAUCCGGGUAGCAGGUUGGCAUUUCUAACCUGAGCCCAGGUUAAUCUGCUGUGUGUACGGGUUGUUGAGCGAACUGGUAAACUGCCCGAGAGUCUUGCCUGAAUGAUGAACUGACACUAACUGACAAGAGCUGGCGUAUGACUCCGACCUCACUGAAUUUCCUCUUUCUCCUGCCAGUGGUCGUGGCAGCCCAGGAUAAGGUGACGGGGAGACCACAAGGGCAAAUGUGACAUAAGGCAGAAGGGCAAAUGUGACAUAAGGCAUCUUGAGAACUUCCAGUUGGUUGGUAGUGCCUCAUGGGACAGGAGCCUUCUCUCGUAGGCUGGGAAGGCAGUGGGACCAGCACACGAUCAUGUGGAUCAGUGUUCACUUUUCCAGAUGCAAAGAGAGGAGACAUGGUCACCUUGCAUACAUUUUGAUAACAUCCCUUGGGCAAGAGGAAGGUAUAACUCACAAUAGAUAACCUCUGCUUUUGUUCGAGCGUUGUCUCCUUUAUCUGCAACAUGGGGGUGUUGAGUGAUGCCACAGGCAGCUGGAAGGCCUCACUUAUUUGACCUAAUUAUUCCCAAUGUAGACCUGACUCAUCAGAACGGGCUCUUCUUCAAAGGAAAUGAGAGCCAGAUUGUCUCCUUGGCAGCCAUGGGAAACAAAUGCUAUCCACAGAAUGGCUGAGAUAUUGAAAAAAGGCACGGUUGGCUUUUGGGGCCAGCUGCCAUUUAACAGUGUGACCAGGAAUGGAGGACUGGAGGGAGGGGAGUGUCAACUUCUGACAUUCUAGCUGUCUCAAAAUGUUCUUAAUAAAAUUAACUCACCUUUGGAUGCCGUGGGCAAAAGUAACCCCAUAUUAAGAACCCAGGGAAGAAUGGAAACUUUCAGUGGGGUGUUUUUUUUUUUAAAUAUUAAUAAUUGAGUAAAUUUCCAUGGGUAUACUAGGGGGACUUUUCACAGGGGAACCUUCUUAUUUCUUGGUCCUCUCAGGUGCUCUGUUGAAGAAUUGAAGGAUGGGGAAAUGGAGAAAGGGAGUUGAAAUGACCCUCUUGUUGCCAUUAGGCAAAUCCAGCACAGAAUGGGAGCGGCGUGCCGCAUUCCCUCUCCGAACGGCCUGCCUUAGCUCAACGAUGCAUAUCUGAACUUAACACUUCAUCUUAGACGGUCGCCAGUUGUCCAUACCGAAACGCAGGUGCACUGAAAAUACUCAUGUAACCCUUCCCCGGUCCCACCGUCCUGUUGUACAGUCGUGGUUAAGAAUGCCACAACCCUAAGAAUUAGGGAAAGAUGUGCACUUGGCUGAUCCCUGUGGCACCGUCUGGCUCGCGGCCUUUUGUGCAGCAAUUCCCGAAGCACCGGACCGUGAAGAUGCCCGACUGACAACAUCGUUCCAGCGUCGGCCUGCUGUUGCCGGAGAGGAGCCUCCAAAGACGCCGUGUUUGAUCUCAGCCUGGAUCCCCUCUGGGAGGAGGAGAGGGAAUCCCACAAGCUAUUCGUUAAGAAGAUCCUGUUGUUUGGUCACGUCCUCUGACACCGUAGCCAUGCACGCAUACAGGUGUAGUUGGCAUUCUGACGUGUGCAUAGUGCGUUUUCGUCUCUUCCCUGGAGUCCAGGCCAAAGCCUGAGGUUCCUUUUGACACAACUCUGCCCAAAACUCUGGCUUUGUGCUCUCCGGCGCUCCGCAAUAACAUACCAGCUCUGUGGUGUGGCCAGUGUUUACUUAAUUGGCGGGAGGACUUUUUAAUCUCCAAAGGCAAACGUUUCUUCUGCAUUCCACAUAGAGCUCAUCUGCCAGCAGUGAAAUAGUCAUCAAGAAGUGGGGGCCAGUGAGUACAAGGAUGGCCAGAGGUGAUACACCGCAGACCAUCUGGGUAAUGGGACGGGGUCCAUCAGAGGGCGUUAGUGCUCACCUUCUUCACAGACCUCUGGAUGAGCGGUGACUCCUAGGUCGGAGAUUUCCUGAACGUGUCAUGUUUCCUGGAAAAGAAGAGGUUGAGGGUGCCCUGUUUUCAGGGGAAGAACAACUUUGCUGUAAGUUGUGUUGCUCAAUGGUAAAUGUUUACACGUUUCUACAACUUUGAUUUAUUUUGAUUGUGGUAAUUCAUAAAAGAUGUUGUAGCUCUGAAGCUUGGCAGUUCCCCCAAAGCACAAUCUGCCAGAGACUCUCCCCAGGAUCUGCUUACCUAUUACAGAAACCAAGAGAGUCCCAGUAGGACAGAGGCGUGUGGAUGGCAGAGAACAUCUCUGGAGGUGAGAAUAUGGCAACAAGGGAUCCCGAGACAUAACAAAUGCGCCAGUCUGACUUCUUUUCUGGAUGCACACAGAGCCUCUACUUCUCUCUAAAACUGGGGCAAUGCUAGAGGUAUUAGUUUCUUGAAAUGUUCGCAAGUCCUUGCAACGCAGUGCUGGGAUUUGCAGUGAUGUAUGUAGACGGGACAUGCCUCAAAUGGAACGUUGCUGAUUGAGUUUUAGUCCCGGGGGCUAACAUUCCAUCUUAUGGAUUAUUGUGUCCAGCUUUCAAGUUCAUGUUGAGCUCUGAACAGCUGUUAGGCCUUUGAUGCUCAUAUCCCCAGAGCCCAAUCUUUCAGCUGACUGCUUUCAGCUGACUGCAGAGCCAUAUGCCAUGAACUCCGGGACUGACGUAGGAAGUCACAGCCCUGGUCUCGUUAGGACUGCUCUGCAAAGCUGAGGGCAAGGAUAUGCAGAGACGUGGGCUGAUUUGUUCUUUUAAUGCCGUUUUUUUUUUUCAGAUCAAGUGAAACAAUAGUAUGUCAUCAUUAGUAGAUUUCAUAAACGUUUAUUGGGCAUCACCAUAUGUCAGGCCGAGAUUCAAAGUUUAAUAAUACACAAAGCAGCCAUUGAGGAAUUUAUACGUGGUGUAUAUUUCUCUCCCUUCACUAGACUCAGCACGGUGUUAUUCUCAGUUAUCUUCUGAUCUCUGCCAUCCAGCAUCAAGCCUGGUCCAUGAUGGGUAUUUAACAAAUGUUGAAACAGUAUGCAAAAAGCAGUUCGCCUUGAGAUUUUCCUUUCUUGUUCUCUAACAGCCUUGCCUCACGCAUAUCAACUGACAGAUUUCCUCCUAUCAAAAUGCCAGAACAUCUUUCCCUCUAGAUGCUUAUUUCCUAUUGCACCUCUUACAACUACUGUGAAGAGAAACAAACUUUUUUCCUUUAUGGCAAGCGGGACUUCUCACUAGUAUCUAUGAUCAUCCAUAAAGGCAGACAUUUUUUUUGUCCUUUUGUUCACUGCUAUUUCCCCAGCACCAAAAAUAUUGCCUGGGGCAUAGUAAUCACAUGUCAGUUCAUGUCUUUGUAAUUAUUUGUUGAACGAAUACAUAAAAUUGAAAUCAGGACAAAAGAUCUUGACGUAUUAGACAGGUUCAGUUAAGCUAUGUGGCAGUAACAAAUAACCCUGGAAAUCUCAGAGGCUGAACACAUAUAGGUUUGUUUCUCUUUUCCACAGAGCUGGCUGGGGAUCCCGCUGCCUUCUAGAUCAGCUCCUUUCCCAGUGGUAACACCAGGAUCCAGUAUGACCGCAUCCUGUAGCUAACCUGGAAUGUAUAGCUUUGGGCUUCCUCUUCUAGGGGAAGGGAGGGCGAAAGGGUUGCACACUGACUCAUAAAUGCUUUUGCCUGGAAAUGAUGCAUGUCACUUCUGUUCACAGUCUUUUGGCUACAUGGCUGGGAAAUGUGGGUGAGCCCAUGAGUAUCUGGUGGGCAUGCUCCACUAAAUAUGUUAGUCAGUGCUUGCUAAGUGAUGCUGUAAUACCUUAGGAAAGCGACUCUUUGUGUCCCACCCUUAGUCUUACCGCUUCGGUGCAUGACGGCCAGCUUCCCAAUGCGUAUCUGCGUAUCUUUGCCUGAAGUCUCUCUUGGGUUGCUGGAUCUCGCUUUGGGCUCCUGCUUUGCCUUCAGCAUAAGAGGCUCUGGGUGCCAGGAAGCCACCCUACGUCAGGCUGAGAUUAAGGCUGAAUAAGACACAGAGCAGCCAUCAAGGAGUUUAUACUGUUUACGUUUCUGUCUCCCUCACUAGACUCAGCUUGUUAAAGGCGGCAUCGACUCAAUCGAUGACUGCUGGGCUUUAGUGUAUAAAUAGCUCAGCCCCGUCACUACUCAGCUGGUGGCAUGACCGGGAGGUGCAUUUUCUGCACUGGCUCCCAGAGACGGCAGGGGGGUUAAGCUCUAAUUGUCCGCAGCGAUGACUUACUUGAUAACAAACCUAUAACUGGCUGUCUUCCCCUCCCCGUCUCACUUCCUCAUUCCCCUGACAGUGUUUCUUGGGAUUUCCUCUCAAAUAAACUAUUUACAUUUGA